rnacentral:rRNA from 1 species
GCCCUAAACCAAGCCUAAACUUUCCCUUUAUAUCAUCAACCCCCCCCCCAAUCAUAAAAUAAAACAUUUCAUUUUUUUAGUAGAGGCGAUCAAAAAGUUUAUUAGAGCUUCACAUUUAGUACCGCAAGGGAAUGGUGAAAUAGAUUUGAAACAGCCUUAAAGCACAACAAAGCAGAGACCCCCCCUUGUACCUUUUGCAUCAUGGUUUAGCGAGUUUUAAUCAAGCAAAGAGAAACAUUAGUUUGACACCCCGAAACUGAGCGAGCUACUUCGAAACAGCUUAUAGAGCCAACCCGUUCUGUCGCAAAAGAGUGGGAUGAUUUCCAAGUAGAGGUGACAAGCCUAUCGAGCCCAGAGAUAGCUGGUUAUUCAGGAAAAGAAUUUCAGUUUUUCCUUAAGUUUUUUAUUACCAUAAAAACCCCCUCAAACUUAAGAGUUAUUCAAAUAAGGCACAGCUUAUUUGAGACAGGACACAACCUAAAAUAUAGGGUAAGCAACAACCUACCCCCCCAAAGUGGGCCUGAAAGCAGCCACCUUUAAAAAAGCGUUAAAGCUUAAUUUCUCAUCAAUCACCAAAUACCUCCAUCUACAACGAACCCUUUACCUGUACUGAAUGACCCUAUAUUCUUAUAGGAGACAUAAUGCUAAAACUAGUAACAAGAAGUAGACCUUCUCCACAAUGUAAGCGCAAGCCAAAUCGGACCAACCACUGGUUACUAACGUAUAUGAGCUUCUUAUAGUAACACCUUCAAGAAAAAUCUAUUUACCCAUAACGUUGACCUAACACAAGCACAUUACUGGAAAGAUUAAAAGAAAAAGAAGGAACUCGGCAAAUGUAGGCCCCGCCUGUUUACCAAAAACAUCGCCUCCUGAUUACCCAUAUGAGGUCCAGCCUGCCCAGUGACAUGAUUAAACGGCCGCGGUACUCUGACCGUGCGAAGGUAGCAUAAUCACUUGUUCUCUAAAUAAGGACUAGAAUGAACGACAUCACGAGGGCCUUACUGUCUCCUUUUUCCAAUCAGUGAAACUGAUCUCCCCGUGAAGAAGCGGGGAUCUCACUAUAAGACGAGAAGACCCCAUGGAGCUUUAAACCCAACAGACAAUCCUAACCUCCUUCUCCCCCAAAAGUUUUUAAAUAGUGUCUGCUGGUUUUAGGCUGGGGUGACCGCGGAGUAAAAAUUAUCCUCCAUGACGUAUGGGACUUCCCCCCAAUCCACGAGCCACUGCUCUAAGAAUCAUCAAAUUGACGACAAAUGAUCCAAUCUAUUGAUCAACGAACCAAGUUACCCUGGGGAUAACAGCGCAAUCCAUUUCAAGAGCUCCUAUCGACAAAUGGGUUUACGACCUCGAUGUUGGAUCAGGGUACCCAAGUGGUGCAGCCGCU